AUUGAACGCUGGCGGCAUGCUUUACACAUGCAAGUCGAACGGUAACAGGCCUUCGGGUGCUGACGAGUGGCGAACGGGUGAGUAAUGCAUCGGAACGUACCCAGAGGUGGGGGAUAACGCAGCGAAAGCUGUGCUAAUACCGCAUGUGAUCUGAGGAUGAAAGCGGGGGACCGAGCAGCAAUGUUUGGCCUCGCGCCUUUGGAGCGGCCGAUGUCGGAUUAGCUAGUUGGUGGGGUAAAGGCCUACCAAGGCGACGAUCCGUAGCUGGUCUGAGAGGACGACCGGCCACACUGGGACUGGAACACGGCCCAUACUCCUACGGGGGGCAGCAGUGGGGAAUUUUGGACAAUGGGCGCAAGCCUGAGCCAGCAAUGCCGCGUGCGGGAAGAAGGCCUUCGGGUUGUAAACCGCUUUUGGCAGGAACGAAACGGUGUCCGCUAAUACCGGGCGCUAAUGACGGUACCUGCAGAAUAAGCACCGGCUAACUACGUG
rnacentral:rRNA from 1 species